GGAUGUGAGGGCGAUCUGGCUGCGACAUCUGUCACCCCAUUGAUUGCCAAGGUUGAUUCGGCUGAUCUGGCUGGCUAGGUGGGUGUCCCCUUCCUCCCUCAGGGCUCCAUGUGCGUCCCUCCCGAAGUGCGUUCAGUCAAAGAGGACGGCCUUCCCCGAAUAGAGACGGACUGGUCUUCAAUAGAGGGUAUAGGAGUAGCUGCGCAACCCUGCUAGAACCUUCAAACAAGCUCUCCAGAUAUAAAGCAGAACAAAUUGUUUACUAAUUGGGAACCUAAAGGUAAGAAUAUAGCAGGUGAGAUUUGGGGUCUCCAUUU
rnacentral:snRNA from 1 species